rnacentral:rRNA from 1 species
GAUGAACGCUGACAGAAUGCUUAACACAUGCAAGUCGAUUCGAUUUACCUUCGGGUAUUGAGGAUGGCGGACGGGUGAGUAACGCGUAAGGAACUUGCCUCUUGGUCUGGGACAACUGUUGGAAACGACAGCUAAUACCGGAUAUUAUGAGAUUCUCGCAUGGGAAACUUAUGAAAGCUAUAUGCGCCAAGAGAGAGCCUUGCGUUCCAUUAGCUAGUUGGUGGGGUAACGGCCCACCAAGGCGACGAUGGAUAGCCGGCCUGAGAGGGUGAACGGCCACAAGGGGACUGAGACACGGCCCUUACUCCUACGGGAGGCAGCAGUGGGGAAUAUUGGANNAUGGGNNNNAAGCCUGAUCCAGCAAUUCUGUGUGCACGAUGAAGGUCUUCGGAUUGUAAAGUGCUUUCAGUUGGGNAAGAAGAAAGUGACGGUACCAACAGAAGAAGCGACGGCUAAAUACGUGCCAGCAGCCGCGGUAAUACGUAUGUCGCAAGCGUUAUCCGGAUUUAUUGGGCGU